UCACUCUCCUUUUUCCUAAUAUUUAUUUAUUUAUUUAGUUGUUGCUCACUAUUGCCACCUUAUUCUCUGCAUCUUCAUAUUAACCACACCUGAAUCUAUUUUUGAUGGAUUCAAAGGAAGGUGUUGAACUUCAAACUGAUGAAGCUUCAAUGAUGUCAGAUUCUUCUCUUCUUCAUCAUCAGUCCAGAAGACCUAGCCUCUCAUCUCUACAGAUACCAGCAAGGUCACUAGAAAGUGCAUUAGCUUCUUCUACUAAGACAGAUGGUCCUACAUUGUCAAGUCCAGGUUCCACUAGAGGACUUCCCCCAAGGCCACAUUCUACAAAAGUCAAGUCCUCUAUGAGAAAUUUACUUUCUGAUAGGAGCUUUAGGACAAAAACUUGUUCACAACAAGAUAUUGAAAAGACAGUUCUCAUUGUUCCUGAUUCUUUAUCAUCACACGGUCCUCUGGAUAAGCCUUCAACUUCAAGGUCCCUUUCACUUAAUAAGAUUUUGUUCCCUUCAUCAACAAAAGCUGCACAUUCAUUACCGGUUACUCCAAUUGCAAAUUCAGAUGCGGAGAAUGUAUACGGAAGACAUGUUGUGGGAAAUUCUGAUUUAAAUAAAAUGAAAGUGAAUAAGCAUAUGACUCGAUCACUUUCAGUUCCGGUUAAUGUCAAAGUCACUAAUUUAAGGCCUACAGAUGCUAGGUGUCUGGUUCGUGUAAUUUCAGCGAGACCACAUCCAACAACUACUGAUGGCAUUUCAACCCACAGUGAUUCAAUGCAAGACAUUGCCAUAGAAGAUGCUUCUGAGGAUAUUCCAGAAGAAGAAGCAGUCUGCAGGAUUUGUUUGGUGGAGCUCGGGGAAGGGGGAAAUACUCUACGGAUGGACUGCAGUUGUAAAGGUGAGCUUGCACUUGCUCACCAAGACUGUGCAGUAAAGUGGUUUAGUAUCAAAGGAAAUAAGACCUGUGAUGUCUGCAAGCAGGAUGUCCGAAACCUUCCAGUAACACUCUUGAAAAUUCCUAAUCCUCCAACCGUUGUUCGGCAUUCAUUGAUUUCACAACAGCAGAGAGAAGUAACUACUUACAGGAUCUGGCAGGAUGUACCAGUGCUUGUCUUGGUCAGCAUGCUUGCGUACUUUUGCUUUCUGGAGGAACUACUGGUUUCAGAUUUGGGCCCACGUGCUCUUGCCAUUUCAUUGCCUUUCUCCUGCAUUUUAGGCCUCCUUUCAUCUAUGAUCGCUUCAACCAUGGAGUGGUGAUUGGAACAAGACGUGUACCCUUUAGCAGGAGCUACAUAUGGGCUUAUGCUUGCUUCCAGUUUGCAUUUGUCAUCCUGUUUGCUCACGUAUUCUAUUCUAUACUUAAUGUCAAUGCGAUUUUCUCGGUUCUUCUUUCAACAUUCACUGGAUUUGGGAUUUCAAUCAGCAUGAAUUCUCUCCUCAUGGAAUAUAUUAGAUGGAAAACAAAUAGGCAGAUUCAAUCUUCAAAUCAAAAUAUUAUUUCAAGACAUCAGCAGCAGCAAGAACCUCAAAGACAACAACAUCAACUGCAAAGAUUGCAGCAAGAGCACCAAUGAAGAAUUUUGUCGAUUAUUUUAUUAUUUUUACUCAAUUUUCUAUGCUAAUAAGAUUGGCAUUCUAUUGAGGUGUGGACCAAAAUAUUUGAAUCCACCACGAGCAGCAGUAUGUAAACUGCAGACAUAGUCUAGGAAUGUUUUGUUAAAUAUAAAUAUAUAUAUAAAGAGUGUAGGUUUCAAUGAGCUUGUGCUUAUAAUGUAUGGCUCAUACUAUUUUUUAUCAUUAACUUUUUGCAUCGAGAUUUGUAUAAUAAAACAAUUUAAAAGUAAUUGACUAGUCCUUGAAAUCA